GUGGGGUAAGGAAAGAGGAGUUGAGGCUGGCAUUCACAUCCGUCCUGGCUGACUAACUGGACAUCGUUUAUGAAGACAGGAGAAACCUUCUAUGCUGGUCCUCACUCAUAAGUGCUGGCUGGGACUAGCCAGGCACAUCACAUUUCAAUAGAAAGAA
rnacentral:lncRNA from 1 species